GCUGGGAUAGCUCAAGGGGUAGAGCAUGAGACUCUUAAUCUCUUCGUCUUGGGAUUGAGCCCCACCUUGGGCA